GAGAGAUGGUAAGGGGUUUAACUCAGCAGAUCCGCCGCGCUGUGCUUUGUGGAAACGUGGCUCGGUGAUUGAACCCCCCACCACGCCGUGGAGCUAGCGGGGUUCCGGCUAACGCGAGCAGAUCGCAGCGCGGAGCUCUCCGGAAAAUCAAAGGGAGGUGGUCUUUGUUUCUACAUUAAUGAACGUUGGUGUACUGAUGUCACGGUGUUGAAAGAGUUUUGCAGCCCUCUCCUAGAAACACUUUUCAUAAACUGCCGGCCGUUCUAUUCACCACGGGAGUUCUCCUCGAUCGUCAUGGCAGCUAUUUACAUUCCACCACACGCGCGUGCGAGUGAAGCCACGCAGAUGCUGGCUGACCAGGGCGAACCUCGCACACGAACUCUCCAGACUCUGGACCACUGCUACACCGUGAUUAAGGAUGCAUAUCACUCUGCGGCUCGUGCAGCUUUAGGACUCUCGGACCACUGUCUAGUUCAUCUGAUCCCGGCCUACAGGCAGAAACUAAAAACUUCUAAGCCUGUGGUGAGGACUGUGAGGAAGUGGACACUGGAGUCAAGGCAGGACCUCCAAACCUGUUUUGACAGCACCGAUUGGGGAGCUUUCGAAGCUGCAACUUCAGACUUGCAUGAACUCACUGACACUGUCACAUCAUACAUCAGUUUUUGUGAGAAUCUGUGUGUGCAGACUAAGACCUUCUGCACGUACAACAACGACAAACCUUGGUUUACACCGAACCUCAGGAGGCUGCGUAAAGUCAAGGAGGAGGCCUACAGGAGCGGCGACCGCGACCACGCUUAUUUCGCGUGUUUGUUACGCUAUGUUCAGCCGGGAUGCCAAAUGAAGUAUGGCGUGAUGUGCCUCGCAUAAAUUCGUUCGCCGGUGUUCACUUGCUUGUGCGAGUGUCUACCAUGACAUGUACUAGAGAGGAGGUGGGGCAUUACCGUAUUGACCCGAAUAUAAGACGACCCUGAUUAUAAGACAACCCCCUUCUUUUUCAAGACUCAAGUUUGAAAAAAUACUUUUUGAACACCAAAUUCAGUUUUUACACAGAAAAUAAUUACAGUACAUCUGAAACAAAUGAUUAUAACAAUAUAUUCUAGAGAAAAAGCAUGUUAUUUUGCCUCAUUCAAAUCAUGCAAAAACUGUCUAUCACAUCUGAACAUUUAAAAAUGUGUCACGACUCGUCCCCGGUUGUGUUAUUAGAUGUAGAGUCAUGGUUUCUGUCCGUCUGUGUACUCGCCCCUCCCUUCCUGUGUCAUGUACUAAUCCCAGUCACCUGCCUCUCGUUACCUGUCUCGUAUUUAAGCCCUGUCUGCAUGUCACUCCCUGUUGGAUCAUUGAUGUAUUUUUGGUUCCCGUCUUUGUCAAGUCGGUUAGCCAGUCUGUCGGUCGGUAAGGUAAAUUAUGUCAGUUUGCCGGCUCUGUUAGUUUUUUCCCCUUAUCCUCUCUUCCAACUACCUUUUCCCUUUAAUAAACCCGGGUCCAAGCUGCAUUUGGUCGCCCUGCUCCAUUCCGAUCCGUUACAAAAUGUAAACUAAAGUGCAAUCACAUUUGUGAAUGAAUGGCUUCUGGUUUUUGAAAUGUAUCACCUACAGUUUCUGUUGGGGAGCCUGAGGACUGUAUAGAGGCUUUGCAGUCACGUGAUUUUAUCACGUGAUUUUGUGUUAUGCCGGCAUCUUGCCGGGCAACCGGUCAGCUCGUUCCUACGUGUUCGUACAGAUUCAGUUUGAUUUCUGCGCUACAUUUUCACAGAUUUCAUCCGAAUUAUGGCUGAUUUGCUAUCCAAUGAAGUUGGGCAUUUGGAUGAAGAAUCCAAGAAACGUUACCGAGCAUUUGGAUGAAGAAUCCAAGAAACGUUACAGAGAGAAGUUGAAUUUUGUUGACACAACGGAUCUGUACCUUUUACCGAGAAGCAUGCUAAAAUCACCUGAGCAUUUUGCAACAGCCGACCUGCCUGAUCUCUCAUAUCCAGAUAUUUAUAAUUACCUUGUCGAUUCACCAUCUCCGUACACUGGAAAGGACCUUAAGGCAUAUAAGAGUCUGGAUGCCUACAAAUAUUUUACAGCAGGUUUUGUGCAUGAUGGGCUGAUAUGGCAGAUUCCAAACAAGAAUUGAUUUCUUCUCAUGACCAAGGUAAAACACUCUCAACGGAUGAAUGAUCCUCCCCUCAGACCUUGGGUAGCAAUAGCGAAAGAUGGUCAGAUCCUGUGCUGCCACUGUACCUGCAUGGCUGGAUUGGGUGAAACAUGCACACAUUCAGCAGCAUCCCUGUUCGUCCUGGAGACAUUAAUACGUAUGAAGACGGCCACUUCAUGCACAUCACUACCUUGUCAGUGGCUGAAACCAUCAGCAUCGCACAUAGAAUAUGCUGAAGGAUGGAAUAUUGAUUUUGCCCGUCCAGCCCAGAAACGAAAGUCAGACGUUUCAACUCCUGAGGAAAGUGCUACGAGAAAACUGCUGGAUGUUCCUCCACCAACUGUCUUUGUCUGAAUGCGGUGGAAGACCAGCAAUUUUGAGCAUUGUCCCUGACUAUGCUGCCAACUUUGGAUAUGUUGGUUUGUAAAUCCGAGAACUGCAGCAUCAAAGCAUUCCACAUGAAAUGUCUUGGCAUAAAAUGAGUUCCACAA